rnacentral:lncRNA from 1 species
CCUAGUUCUGCUGGAGUGGAGCUGAGAGAGGCUCUUGGGAGCUGCCUGCGUGGGCAGAGUUUGAAGGCUUAGGAUAUCUCCUGAAGGCCGGAUGGGCCAGUAGAGAUUAACGAGGCUUGAGCUGUCUUGAAAGAUGGCUGCCCUGAGAACUGGCUAGAAGAGGAGACCAAGGAGGCUGUGUGGGUCACCCUUGCAUUGGAGAUGAGGGGAGUCGUGAGAGAUCAGUGGGGAGCCCAUUGCCCUGUUGGGGAACUGCCUGGUGGAGCUUUCCCAGGGAUAUUUUAAAGAACCUACAUGGGAGAAAGCCUGCAUUUGGACAUCUUCCAGGCCAUUCAAUAGCCAAAGAGAACCACCAACAGCUUGAAUCAAAAAAAAGUGGGUCACUGACAAGAAAAUUCACCUGGAGGCCAAAUUGUCUCUAAUAACAAGUCCAAGACAUGCAUUCCAGCUGGAAUCCUCUUCCCGGAUGGUUGUGUGUUUUUAAUUGCAGUAGCCAUCUCCAAAAAUGCCAUCCAGUAACCAUGCCCUUGUGUGCUGCCCUUUCCAUGAAUCUGAGCUAGCCCCAUAAUUUGCUUUUGGCCAUUGGAUGGUGGUGGAAGUGAUGCUGUGUGACUUUUGAAGCUGAGUUACAAGCAGCCUUGGACAGUCUUUCUAGACCUCGUGGAGGGCUCACUCUGGGGGAAGCCAACCAGCAUGAGUCCAGGCUUUGAGCCUGGGAUCAGCACAGUUCCUGACUCUGACCCACACACCAUGAGCCAAAGCUCUAGACCUUUCAGAAAUUCUUCACCAUCAGAAAAAUGGAGGUGGCACGCCCUGCCGCAGCUGAUCAACUUCCCAGAUGUGCUGCGAGCCUGCAGAGAAAGAGAUAGAAGUGGCCUGGCUUUGAAACAUGGUGCUAUCCCCUAGCAAGCAGAGGAGGAGCUUCCAGACAGAAAAUGGUACCUUUCCCCAGAGUCUAUGUUGAGGUGCACCAGCCUUUCCAGUCCUGAGAAAAGACAGAGUCAUGGCUCCAGGGCAGGUGGGCAUGCCUGUGUCCCAGGAGGCACUGUUCUUCCUGGCCAGAGACCCAUGCCCACUUCAGAGGAGCCAUGAAGGAGAAACACCAGGCCACAGUGGAGGACUGUGAUCAAGGAAAAAUUGAAGAACUGCUGCAGGAAAUUGGAGCUGCCAAUCUCCUAACAAUUGGAAUUUUUUUAUACUGUGCAUUUCACAAAUGUAUGUCCUCAAGGACAGAGAAGAUCCUGCCCUAAGGAGCAAGUGUGCGGAGGCCACCUGGCCUUCACUGGUUCCUGCACUGAAUGUUUCCUUCUCACCUGCUGAGUACCAGGUGUUACCCCAGGUAGCCUCAGUGUGAUGGAUUAUCUGCAGAGAUCAUCACCAGUAAUCCUCCAGCCCUGUACAUAUCCACUCUUUUCCAUCAGGAGGUGAAAUUUAUUUCCCCUCCCCUUGAAUCUAGGCCAGUCUUGUGACUUGCUUUGACACUGACUUUUCUUACACUGUGCAUUUCACAAAUGUAUGAGAUGGCAGAAGGACUGAGGACCUGGGGAGGAGAGAGGAGGAAACUGGAGGACUGUGAACGUGGCCACGUCUUUUCCAAUGGAGAGAAAACUCAAUCGGAUCUGGGCACUCCCUACAUUUCUCCACCUCCUGCCGCCCCCGUGAGCCACUGCAGGGAGAUUUUUCUGAAUAAUGGAACAUUUUCCUGUUUUAAUCAGAUGCAAUUUUGCAAGCAGUUUUUAUGAUUUAGCAAGUCCAUUAAAACUGGCAUUUGUUCUGCUCUGACACUCGAAAGGGGCUCCACAGAGCAUAAACAUUGGAAAUUACUUGUAGGGAGAGACAAUAUUAAAAUUCCCCAGCCUGGGCCUGUUGUUUGAGAAAUUCUGUUAUCAAGCAUCAUGCCAGCUACGAUCAGAGGUGCUUGAGAUAUAUGCUGCUUCCUCUUUACGCACUAACUGGGGGCCUGGGAACUCAGGCAGCAAUAAAGUCGCAAUGCUGUUAUCUCUCAGCACUUUUGGCAUCAGGAGGUGAAUGGGUCUUAAGGAGAACUCACUGGAAGAGCAGGUCACGAAGUGCAAAAUCUCAAGGAAGAGGGUGGGUGAACACAUCUUUAAGGACAAGCCUGGAAAUUGCUUUCCUGCCCACAGUGAAUGAUAGAGUUUAUUGGCACAUAAUUAAGAAGGUCUGUUUUGUCAGUUUCACUUGUAGUCAAUUCUCAAUUAUCCAUAUACUAACAGAUGACCAGGGUCAAGUGAAAAUUCUCCUUUUGCCCUCCUUCUGCUUCCCUGCAGGGAUUCCCUCUCCACAGAACCAAAGUAGAGUAUCAGCAAGAGAGGCUUUGGGGAGCAUCUCCUCUCCCAGUCAAUGCAGAAGCCAUAGAAGAAAUCACAAAAGAUAGAACCUGGCAGUUCAACUACAUAAAAUUAACAAUGCGUGG